rnacentral:tRNA from 1 species
AGAGACGUCGCAUAGCGGUUUAGUGCACUACCUUGGAAAGGUAGCAGGGUGUCAAAGCCCUCAGGAGUUCGAAUCUCCUCGUCUCUG